UGCUUCCCAUGAGUAUGCUGCUGGGAAAGGAGCCCCUCCACUUUGCGGUUGCUCUUCUACAGCAGGAUGUGUAAUGGCUUCCAUUGUUGUGGAGAUUGAACUCAGACUAUCAAGUAUUCUCAGCACCACUGCCACCACACUGCCCCACUGCCUGAAAUGCUCCUGUAUGCCAUCAUCUCCUCGUAGUGCAGCAGGUGGACAUCCUGCUAUGGGGGCUGACACGGGCUAAGCGGCAUCUUCUUCCUUACGGAGAAGCUCAACCCCAUCAGCUAUGAUUUUAAAAUAUCUGGUGAUGAAAAUUCAUCUCAGUACCCAGACAAAAGCAGUACUCAGUCCUGGAAAACUCAAUGCAGUCCUUGAUCAUGAAGAGAUAAAGAAGAGUGGUUUGAAAGACAAGGACACUAGCAGAGGAACUCUUGCUGCUAGGGCGAUGAAGCAGUAGCAGCUCUUCCAAGCCUGCCCUCCUUCUCUGCCAGGAGUUACCUGCACACAGCAAGGACUGCUGAAGUGAACUUGCAUGCGUUAACUUAAACUGUAGCUGAUGGAUGCUCAUCGUGCUGUAUCAAGCUGAAACGGAGUUCCUUACAGCUCCUGUUUUGUGGAUGGAAACCACAAGCAGAGGCAUGGACAGACUGCUGGCACUGCUAACACCCACAGCAACCACUGCUAAAUGCCACAGAAACCAGCCAUCAGAGCCCUAAGGUUUCUUGAAAUGUAGUCCUUGCUCAAAAACUGUCCUCUCUUCAGCAAGAAAUACUGCUUAGAUCCUUCUGUUUAGUUUCAUCAGUAUAAACUGUGAAGACAAAGCAUAUUCAUUUAGUUCUGUAAGGACUGAUUAAUAAACAUGGGCAAAAAACCAACAGCAACUUCAUUUCACCAAAAACACAGAUUCAAGUCAACUGGCAUUCUUCACAAUACUACAAGGAUUUCUUUUCCCAGUAAGCUUUUUUUUCAGUUAAAAAGACUAAACCCAUUUGUUAAAAUGACUGUUUCACUUAGCACUUUCUAAGAAGAUGUUUUCAAAUCUGUAUUUUAAUUAAAAUCUAAGUGCAAAUAAAAACUGAAAACUGC
rnacentral:lncRNA from 1 species